rnacentral:rRNA from 1 species
AGAGUUUGAUCCUGGCUCAGAGCGAACGCUGGCGGCAGGCCUAACACAUGCAAGUCGAGCGCCGUAGCAAUACGGAGCGGCAGACGGGAGAGUAACACGUGGGAACGUACCCUUUGGUUCGGAACAACCCAGGGAAACUUGGGCUAAUACCGAAUAAGCCCUUACGGGGAAAGAUUUAUCGCCGAAGGAUCGGCCCGCGUCUGAUUAGCUAGUUGGUGGGGUAACGGCCCACCAAGGCGACGAUCAGUAGCUGGUCUGAGAGGAUGAUCAGCCUCAUUGGGACUGAGACACGGCCCAAACUCCUACGGGAGGCAGCAGUGGGGAAUAUUGGACAAUGGGCGCAAGCCUGAUCCAGCCAUGCCGCGUGGGUGAUGAAGGCCCUAGGGUUGUAAAGCCCUUUCGGCGGGGAAGAUAAUGACGGUACCCGCAGAAGAAGCCCCGGCUAACUUCGUGCCAGCAGCCGCGGUA